rnacentral:rRNA from 1 species
GACGUAGGGCGCGAGCGUUGUCCGGAUUUAUUGGGCGUAAAGAGCUCGUAGGCGGUUUGUCGCGUCUGCUGUGAAAACCUAGGGCUUAACCCUGGGCCUGCAGUGGGUACGGGCAGACUAGAGUGCGGUAGGGGAGACUGGAAUUCCUGGUGUAGCGGUGAAAUGCGCAGAUAUCAGGAGGAACACCGGUGGCGAAGGCGGGUCUCUGGGCCGAUACUGACGCUGAGGAGCGAAAGCGUGGGGAGCGAACAGG